UCUGCCCCCUGACCCCCACACUCCCUCAUGAAAGUGUGAACCCAUAACUAAAUCUUAGUUGACCUGAGUUGAAGUCUGAAGAAUCUCUACAAGCAUUUCCCUGAUUUAGAUUAAAUGUAAACAAAUGCAUCAGUAAAGAGAACGCCCAGCAAUUUGUGCGUGGUUCCUACUGGGGACUCUUUGAAACCAAAUACUUGAUAUUAAAACUCUCCACAAAAGGCAAACACUGAGCUGAAACUAGUGUCCAUGCUGGGGACUGAGAAGGGGGACCCAGGGGGAAUCCCCAGUCCUGCCAGCCUCCUAAGACAUUGGUCUCCAGUGAGCUGAGUAGGGUAGGGGGAUUCGUGGGAGAGAGGACUUCUGCCCUGGCUGCCUGGACCAUAGGAAGGACACCUGCCCCAGGAAGGCUGGGGAACCUGCCUGCCUCUCCAGCUGAGAUGGUCCAGCUAAGGGGUCAACGGCUUGUCCCAACUCCCUAUGCCACCUUCUCAUCCUACAGUGGCCCUCCAGAACCCCACCUGGUCUCAGGGAUGCCCUACCUACUUACUGCAGCAAAGGGGAGGCUUGGGACCUGGAGGAGAAGCCACCUGCAGGCAGAGACAGAGAUGGAACAAAUGUCAUCACCAGUGGACAGAGGAAUCAACCGGGAUCUAGGAGGAGAAUGGAAGCCAUACUCUCACUGGGUCUGCAGAAGGAACCCGAACAUCUGACACAUUGACUCUGGGUCUCUGACUCUGAAAUUGUGGGAGUGUUACAUUUCUGUGUCUGAGACACCAAGACAGUGCUCCGAGUGUGGCCACUGCAGAGAACAGAGACACUGAUCCCAAAACUCACAUGAGCUGUAGGCCUCCAUUAACCCACUCAGCAAGCAGCGUGCCAGGAGUGUGAGAUCCAGCACUGGCCCUGGGGGUGGGGACCAUAGUGACACAGUACCUCAAUAAUGACAUCACACAUGGUCACUGGAUCCCGCCACCUCCUCAGUUCCUCCGCCACUGUUUGUGGUUUCAUCCCAGGAAAGAAUGAUGUCUUCUGUGCUCCUGGGAAAAGUGAGGUGGCCACAGGCCACGUCAGCUCCCACCAGGAGGAAUGUACAGAGCAGAAACGCCUCUGCCAGGAAGUCUGCAGGGCCCGACCUCUAAUAACCGCCAGCCUCCUGGUCCUGGCGGCCCAUCAUUUUCAUAGUUCCCCACCUAAUGGAGUGUCUCCAGGCAUCAACGCCAUGGCUGCAAUUAAACACAACAAGAAAACAUAAUGGAACCUUGUCUUUCUCUGGGGCCAUUCAUGCUGAAAGGCUGGUGGCUCACAGAGCCUGGAGAAACCUUGCUUACAGAUGGGGAAACUGAGGCACGGUCCAGCACCAGGACUCUGGUCAAGUUACUGAUCAGUGUGCCACAGGGCCAAAACUUGGCUCCCCUCUGGCUCCCUUGCUGCUGGGAUUAGCUGGGUUUCAGUGGGUGGCUUAGUUAUUCCGUGGGCAUGGAGGUGAAAGGGCACUACACUGAGAGUCCUCCAUACAAGCAGGGCUCAGGGCCUGGGGUGACUCCCAGCUUGCUGUGCGGCUUUGGAUGAGUGACUUACUCUUUCUGGGUUUCAGUGUCCUCGCUUGUAAAGUGAGGGGUGGAGGGGAGUGUGCUGAGUACUCUGAUUUGAAUGCAGCUGAAUCACCCGGGACUCUCGUUCACACAGUUUCUGAUUCAGCAGGCCUGGGCUCUGAGCGAUGUGUUCUCACCAACAGAGAGCUCUUGCUCUGGGGCAGCUUCUCAGCCCACACUCCCAGUGGCAUUUCAUGCAGGUCAACUAAACACCCUCCAGCCAUCACCACUGCCUCCCCAGGAUGCUGUGUGCAGUAGAGGCGUGAGAAUGAGCGGAAGAGUACCUUAGUAGGAACUUCUGGCAUGCUUGAUUCUACCACUCCCCGGCUGACUUUGUCAUUCAGAGAAUGAGAGAGACAUAGAAGGAGAGACACACUAUAGUACUGGAACUUGCCCCGGCACCCUGGUACUCCCACGUGGUACCAGGGUUCACACCUGGGCCGUGUGCAUGGGGAUGAAGACAUCUGACUGUGUGAGUUCCCUCUCUAGUUCUAUGUGUAUGUGCAUAUAUUAAGAUUAUGCAAGUGACUCGCAUGCCUCUUGCUCUGAAGCCCCAGGUUCAAUGCCCAGCACCACCAUAAGCCAGAGCCGAGCAGAGCUCUGGUCUCUCUGUAUUGUUCUAUUCAUCUGUCUCAUUAAAAUUUAAAAAAA